UAUUGAUCCGGGAGAACAUUCAAUCCAUUUCUGCAAGUAAUAGUUCUUCAAGUGACUUCAGCUUAUCGAUACUGCGUACGAUGAUGGUCUGCGAUACUACAACGAAGUGCCACGCCCCACUGAACACGACUAGUUAAUUCAUGGUGUGUUCGAUAGACACGAGCUGAAAAGGACCAGAAAUAAUGUCUAACGGCUUAUGUACCAGAUGUAAAAUACCGAAAACGUGAUCGUUACGAACGUACUAUCACGGUGUCCUUCGCAGUUGAUAACUGUCGAGCGUCGGAGAAAAUAAGGUCCCGUUGGUCGUUCGUCUUUAACCCGAAUCUCCCCGAAGGACUGGACUAUUGCUUUUUUUUUCGAUUGCGUAUUCAACAUUAGUUCAGUGAACGUUGUUGAUUCGGUGAAGUGAAGGACCAUUCGAGAUUAUUGGGCUGACUGAGGAACAUCGGACUUAUAUC